rnacentral:misc_RNA from 1 species
UGUGGGAGGGGGCUUGCCCCCGAUAGCGGUGUUUCAGUUAAUUAAUGUCUGACUGACAUACCUCUAUCGGGGGCAAGCCCCCUCCCACA